UUUUCAAUAAGCAACAAAAUUAUUUAAAAACUCUUUACUUGAAGUUAACAAGCAAAAAAAUUAUACUUAUAAAUUGUUUAAACAUGUUUUCAUUUAUUAGAUGCAAAGUAGAAAAAAUAUGGCUAAUAUUUUUACUAUAUUAAUUAUUCUUUCUCUUUUUCUUGUGGUAACCAAUGGACAUGAAUGCAAAAGACCCGGCGAUUGUCCAACGACUAUGUGUAUCUUUCCUAUGAUUGCCAUUUGCAAAAAUUUGCUUUGUCAGUGCACACCACUUUUGGAUUCCACUUGAGUAAUCUGAAAAAUAUUUAUAUAAUUAUAUUGUAUUAAUAAUCAUAUAAUGGUUUUUGGUCUACUAGUUUAUUGUCUUGAAAUUCCACCUUAAAGGUGAAUAAGUGGAUUGAUUGGAGUUCAAACCCCGGUUCCCAUAUAAUAUAUGUAAUAUUCCUACCAACUGAGCUAAGCUCAUGAAUAAUUUAUUUGUACGUUAUAAUAUCUCGCAUACAAUUAAUUUGAUUUAUAUUCUAAUGUUUUAA